UUCAUCGUGUCGUUUUUCAUGGCGGGAGUUGGGGCCUUUUUUUCUGACUGACAGCCGGAUUAACGCCGCAAUAACGGUGAUAACGUCGACUGUCUAGAUUUCCUCGACAACGUCGGAGGUGUAUUUUGGAGCCUCUUCUUGUGAAUGCCAUAGUUUCGAUGAUAACAUCAACUGUUUGUGAUCAUGUGGUAAUGUCGUCUGCAUCAGAGGAGUAUUGGAGUCUUUUCCUGUGAUUGCCGUCGUAACAACAGGAGAUUUCUCCAAGCAAAAACAGGAUUCUGAAUAUGAGGCAGAAUCAUCGUACAGCCAGCUGUCCGUUUUACAGAAAUGCAGAAUUAGGUUCAUUCAGAUCUUUGUGGCACCAAAUGCAUUGAAAGUCACAGGUCAGCUGGAAUUCUGGAAAGAGGGUGCAAAGAAAAAGGAUCUGCCUGAAUCCCAUCCUGCUGUUUCUCAUCUGAGAGCUUGUCAACUUUGACUGUCAAAAUUACUGAAAUUUAACACAACACCACAAACUCAUUUUUACUGUAUCAUUUGAUUUUAAUUAACACUACCAGUCAAAAGUUUUUGAACUUUUAAUGUUUUUAAAGAAGCCUCUUCUGCUCACCAAGCCUGGAUUUAUUUGAUCCAAAGUACAGCA